UUUCAAUGAGUAUGGAGAAUUGCCCAGGAAACACCUAUGUGUCUUCCACCCAACUUUACUAAAUAUGACUGGUGCCAAAUUUGUGUAAGAUACUUUUAAGAAAUAAAACAUCAGGUUGAUUUUCUAUGUACAACACUCUCCAAACCCAUUACCCUCCUUCCUUCCAAAGGGAAUAAUUAUCUGGAAUUUGGUGUUUCUGUCUCCUGUACGUGUAUGUUUUUUAAAAAUAAUCUUACUACAUUUGCAUCUAUCCUUGAAGAAUACACAUAAUCGAUAUUUGCAUAAUUGUAAAUGGCAUUGUGCUUUAGAUAUAUAUCAUUCUGCUUUAUUCUGCUUUUGUGAUUUUUCAUGUUGAUACAGUAAGCUACAGUGGAUACCAAACUAUUCACUAGUAUUCCAUUCUAUGAACAUAUUACAUUGCAACACUUGCUUCUGUUAACAGAUAUUUACAUUUUUUAAAAAUUUGCUGUUAUAAAUAAUUGUGUGGUGGGAAUCAUUUUACUCACUUUCUUGUGAAAGUAUUGACUGGGUAUGUAUGCCUGCAUGUGGGAUUUCUAAGCCACAGCAAACAGCCAGUUACUAUUUUUCUACAUACUGCUCUCCAAAGAGCAUACUGCUUAUCAAUUUGCACUCCCACCAGCUGCAUAUGGAAGUUCAUAUUUCUCUAUAUUUUCAUCAGCACAUUGUUUUGUCAGCUAUUUCAGUUUGUGUCAGUCUAAUAAGGGUAAAAUGGUCAAUGUCUGGCUAGGAACAUUCUAGAUCUUUCAACAAAGGAAAGUUAAUACAAGGAAUUGAUUAGACAGUAGACAGGACAGCUGGAAAGCAAAAUAGUUUGGUGAAAAAUCAUCCACAGCUGUAGGAAGCCACUGUCAGCCCUAGGCCUAGAGAGAAACUCGGCCAAGUUGGUACAGAGACCAGAAGCUAGGGUCCGUGUCAGAAACUAAAGCCGGGGUGGGAGAUGGGAGUGGGGAGCUGAAGCCACGGAAGCUGCCAGAGCUGCUACAGGAAUCACAGGAAAGAGGGGAGAAACCACAGGCCCCCCCUCCUCUCGUGCUGGGAUCUCCCUUUAGUUCCUCUCACUGGCUACACUUAGCCGGAAGUCGGAAGUUACCUGUCCUGUAGAAAGAGCAGAGGAAGAGAAGAUGGGCAGUGUUCCAGACGAGGCUGACCCAUCAGCUUGGAUCCCAGAGGGAACAUGAAGCUGGGCAGGGACGUGGCCAGCUGGUGAUGGAUCGGCAGUGCGAGCCGCCUUCGUUACGGAGAUUAAUUCAGGCU
ensembl:lncRNA